UCAGCCACACUGGGACUGAGAUACGGCCCAGACUCCUACGGGAGGCAGCAGUCGAGAGGCUUCGGCAAUGGGGGAAACCCUGACCGAGCGACGCCGCGUGUGUGAUGAAGGUCGUAAGAUCGUAAAGCACUGUUAGCAGGGAAGAAAUGCCAUAUUGUUAAUACCAGUACGGCUUGACGUUACCUGCAGAGAAAGCUCCGGCUAACUCCGUGCCAGCAGCCGCGGUAACACGGGGGGAGCAAACGUUAUUCGGAAUCACUGGGCGUAAAGGGCGCGCAGGCGGCCAGGUAAGUGGGAUGUGAAAUCCGGUGGCUCAACCAUCGAACUGCAUCCUAUACUGCUUGGCUUGAGGACGGGAGAGGAAAUGGGAAUUCCCGGUGUAGCGGUGACAUGCACUGAUAUCGGGAGGAACACCAGUGGCGAAGGCGCAUUUCUGGCCCGUUCCUGACGCUCAGGCGCGAAAGCUGGGGGAGCAAACAGGAUUAGAUACCCUGGUAGUCCCAGCCGUAAACGGUGAACACUAGGUGUGGGGGGCAUCGACCCCUUCCGUGCCGCAGCUAACGCAUUAAGUGUUCCGCCUGGGGAGUACGAUCGCAAGGUUGAAACUCAAAGGAAUUGACGGGGGCCCGCACAAGCGGUGGAGCAUGUGGUUUAAUUCGAUGCAACGCGAAGAACCUUACCCUGACUUGACAUGUACCGGACAGGUAUGGAAACAUACUCUCUCUUCGGAGUCGGUAUACAGGUGCUGCAUGGCUGUCGUCAGCUCGUGUCGUGAGAUGUUGGGUUAAGUCCCGCAACGAGCGCAACCCUUGCUCUUAGUUGCCAGCACAUAAUGGUGGGCACUCUAAGGGGACUGCCGGCGAUGAGCCGGAGGAAGGUGGGGAUGACGUCAAGUCCUCAUGGUCCCUAUGUCUGGGGCUACACACGUGCUACAAUGGACGGUACAGAGGGCUGCGAUACCGCGAGGUGGAGCCAAUCCCAAAAAGCCGUUCUCAGUUCGGAUUGCAGUCUGCAACUCGACUGCAUGAAGUCGGAAUCGCUAGUAAUCGCUGAUCAGCAGGCAGCGGUGAAUAUGUUCCCGGGCCUUGUACACACCGCCCGUCAAGCCACGAAAGUUGGCAGUACCCAACGUCGUCUACCCAACCUUCGGGAGGGAGACGCCUAAGGUAAGGCUGGCGAUUGGGGCUAAGUCGUAACAAGGUA
rnacentral:rRNA from 1 species